GAGAAGGCGUAAGGUCAGCCGGACGGGGGGAGUCUGAUCAGUGACCUCAGCAUGGCCUUUGGGAAGGGACGAGGCCGGCCCACUAUCCCCCUAGCUUAAACAUGCCCAGCCUGGGACCGACCACAGGAUGUCCUUUUCACAUCCACAACUGCGCAACUGAGAGAAGAGCAUGAGCAGCUGAGAAGAUUUUAUUGUGUGUUAAAUAAGGACCUCUUCAGGGAGAAAUUGAUGGCUCAAAAGGUUCACCAACACCUCCCGGAUCCCAUCAUCCCCUCAGCCUGAGUGCAGCUCCUAUUACUGCUGCUGCUCCGAGGAGCCGGGUUUGUACGUAGUCAGCAGGUAAUAAAUACAUCCGUAGACUGGCUCCUCCAUCUGGACCAACGACCUUGCUUCUAGGUGACUCAGUGAGUGGAGAUCAAGCCUCAGAUGCUCUUUCUGCAGUGGAGUCACAUUCUCAUGUCCUGUCUUCAUCUGUAAACUGUGCAUACCACUGAUAACUACCUGAUUCAAGGCUCAGUUGAAAUGACCCAGGUGAAGCUUCUUCCCAGCAAGGAUCUCAUUAAUGAACUUGGUCCCCUUCUUUGAUGAACGUUUGGACACUGACAGGUACUUCUCUGAGCAGUGUCUCCUUCAGAUGGCCUUUGAUGCUUUGCCUCGCAUUCCACAUGUUAUAUGGUGUUGGGCAAGAGGCACACCUGUCUUCUUUCCUGGCCUCUUUCAGGCUAGACUGAUCUCAGACACCCUCCCCUGGAAGGCUGAUUGGAUAAAUACAGACACAAUCAGAUAUACAGUGAAGAGAAUUUCAGUCAAUCAGUGUGUUCAGUAGUUAUACUAGAUAAAAUCAAGACUUUAAAAUAAGGAAGCUUGAGGAAAAGUGACUAAAGGGAUUUAACAAUCUGUUGUGUUGUGUGCAGCCUUCUUUGGAGUGUAAUGAUUUACUUUUGUUGAAAUAAAAAUAUCAAUUACUAAUAUUUCCACGGUGAAAAAGUAGACAAAGAAUCUGAUAAUUCUUCAAGUUUUUAUUGUAUCUUUUUGUAUGUUUUCUUUCAAAACUCAUUUUCAUUUACUGGCCAGAAUUUUACCUCCUGUUGAUGCUGCACAACUGUUGCAAUAAAUUCAGUCGUAUCACACGACUCAGAGAGCAACGCUGAUCCCGCUGCCCCACAAGGGAGCUUCCUUGUCUGGCUUCUUUACUCAUCAUAAUUAUUUGGAGAAUAGAUGUGAAACAUUCAAUUAAGUCAGAGUUUAUAUGAUUUUAUAUGUGAUCAAACUUGCUACACAUAAAAAACCUCACAUGUAAUUAUGUGAUACCACAUGCUUUGUGUAUAUCAACAGUGAAACCGAUGCUCAGCUUUUUAAGCAUAAUUGUUCAUUGUGCCUCAGACUAAAACUCUGCUAGUAACCAAAGCCAUUUUCCUCUGAAGCGAUAAACACAAAGCAAAUGAUCUGUUAGCUGCCAACAAGCUUAUAUGUAAGGGAAUAUAAAUAAGACACUUGAUAAAAGGUUCUCCUGUUGCCAAAAGAGGUGGCCAAAUAACCUGAAAAACCAAGCUGAAGAGUGGCUGUUUUGAGAUGCUGAACAAGACGACGAGACGGGAUCUGCCGAAUUCCUCUAAUACACUUAGACUGGACGCUGCCCCCCUCAACACACACGCACCUGUGUGCACGCACGUACAAUCAUUUACACGUGUAUACAACACAACGCUUUUGUCUUCCAUAAAUUGCUUGUAACCCAGGUUAGUUCAGCAAUUGCUCCACGUUACCAUUUAGUUUUCUUUAUAAUGUCUAAACAGGAUUAAAGCUAAAAAUAGUUUAAAAUAUUAUUAUAUCCCAAUCUCAGAACUAUUUGAUUGUGUAUAUAAAAAUGCAAACCCAAGAAUGUUACAAAAUAACAUCUUUUAACUAUUUAAGAAAGAUCGUUUCACAUACAGCACCAUGAUAUACGCGAAGGGAGCACUCAGUGCACAUUUUUCAGGUGCUCUGGCCUUGCGUCUUCUCUGUGCCAUGUCACCUCACUCUGGCCUGGCUGACAAGCCAUAUUUUCACUUCCUUCAAAGCAGCAUGUGCUUAAUCUGACGAUAAUUUUUGUCAAGUUCAUUAAUAUGUUUUACUUUUUUAAUGUGUGUGCUUUUGUAUUUUCCUCAUUUUCUUUGGUUCCACAGAGCUGAGGUCCUAUAAAUUAUUUUGCAGAAGGGAUGGGUGACUAUUUUCCAUGUCUUAGUCUCUGGCUUAUUAUUUCAGACAUUUAAUAACCUAAGAGAGGACGCUUUUCAUUUCAGAGUCCCUGUACCAUAUGCCUUAGAAUAAGUUACAGGGGAUUAAACCUGAUCCAUAGUCUCUUCCUGUCAAGUAUGAUAUGAUGUAUGAAUUUUUCCGUUGUGCCUCCACUACCCAUAAGCCAUUGUUUUCUUUUCUACAUAUUAACUCCCACACAUCACUAGAAUAGAAUCCUGUUAUCUUGUGCUGGCUGAGGAUAUUAUGGCAGCCGGGAGGUUUCUGUGUGUUACAGCACAAGUUGUCUUUUUCUUGUCUAAUGUUUUGUCUAGUUUUCAUACUGUGAUGAUGUUUUUAAAGGUCCCUUUUGUGUAUUGUGUCUUGGAUCUGAUCAUUUUUCAGAGAAUUUUUUAAAAAAUUAACCCUUCAGGUCAUGGACCAGAGAAUUUCAUUUGUCAAAUUCCCAUUUCUUUGAGGAAGAGUCUAGGAUCCUUUGAAAUACUAGUGUGGAAAAUAAUAAAAGUGAAAGGAACUUUUGGUUUCUGAAUAAACAUGUAUGUCAUUUGGCUUACC
rnacentral:lncRNA from 1 species